rnacentral:rRNA from 1 species
GAUGAACGCUGGCGGCGUGCCUAAUACAUGCAAGUCGAGCGAACAGAUAAGGAGCUUGCUCCUUUGACGUUAGCGGCGGACGGGUGAGUAACACGUGGGUAACCUACCUAUAAGACUGGGAUAACUUCGGGAAACCGGAGCUAAUACCGGAUAACAUUUGGAACCGCAUGGUUCUAAGGUGAAAGAUGGUUUUGCUAUCACUUAUAGAUGGACCCGCGCCGUAUUAGCUAGUUGGUAAGGUAACGGCUUACCAAGGCGACGAUACGUAGCCGACCUGAGAGGGUGAUCGGCCACACUGGAACUGAGACACGGUCCAGACUCCUACGGGAGGCAGCAGUAGGGAAUCUUCCGCAAUGGGCGAAAGCCUGACGGAGCAACGCCGCGUGAGUGAUGAAGGGUUUCGGCUCGUAAAACUCUGUUAUUAGGGAAGAACAAACGUGUAAGUAACUGUGCACGUCUUGACGGUACCUAAUCAGAAAGCCACGGCUAACUACGUG